CCUACGGGUGACUGCAGUGGGGAAUAUUGCACAAUGGGGGAAACCCUGAUGCAUCGAAGCCGCGUGAGUGAGGAAGUAUUUCGGUAUGUAAAGCUCUAUCAGCAGGGAAGAAAAUGACGGUACCUGACUAAGAAGCCACGGCUAACUACGUGCCAGCAGCCGCGGUAAUACGUAGGGGGCAAGCGUUAUCCGGAUUUACUGGGUGUAAAGGGAGCGUAGAGGGCUAAUCAAGUCAGAAGUGAAAAGCCAGGGCUCAACCUUGGGACUGUUUUUGAAACUGACUAGCUAGAGUGCAGGAGAGGUAAGCGGAAUUCCCGGUGUAGCGGUGAAAUGCGUAGAUAUUAGGAGGAACACCAGUGGCGAAGGCGGCUUACUGGACUGAAACUGACGUUGAGGCUCGAAAGCGUGGGUAGCAAACAGGAUUAGAUACCCCUGUAGUC
rnacentral:rRNA from 1 species